rnacentral:rRNA from 1 species
GACGUAGGGCGCGAGCGUUGUCCGGAUUUAUUGGGCGUAAAGAGCUCGUAGGCGGCUUGUCGCGUCGAAUGUGAAAACCCAGCGGCUCAACCUGUGGGCUUGCAUUCGAUACGGGCAGGCGUAGGAGUUCGGUAGGGGAGACUGGAAUUCCUGGUGUAGCGGUGAAAUGCGCAGAUAUCAGGAGGAACACCGGUGGCGAAGGCGGGUCUCUGGGCCGAUACUGACGCUGGAGGCGACGAAAGCGUGGGGAGCAAACAGG